rnacentral:lncRNA from 1 species
GGAAUAUGAUUGUCUUUCUGGGAUAAUUAUAAAGUAUCUAUCUUCUCAACAAGUCAUUAUACUGUUUUUUUUUUCUUUAUGUCAUUUUUUUUUCUUUAUGUCAUUUCUGUUGCAUUGCAACAAGCAAUAGCAAAAACUGCAAUAUUCUUUCAGCCCCACCUCUGGCUAUGUGGUUGGCUUUCAUCUCGGGUAUAUUUAUCUUCAUUCAUAAACUCGAACCCUUCUUGCUCUUGUCCCCUGUUCUAAGCACAACUUAGGUAAAAUCUCUACAUAAAUAUUGUGUUUUCUAGUUCAGAGUGGAUUAAGUAUCCACUUACUCAGAUAUGCAGAUAAACAAAGCUUUUAGAUUACUUUCAUUAUGAUUCAUAUUAUUAUGAAUACAUUCAUAGCAUGCAUUUGUAUUAUUUUCAUUUAGAUUAUGUUAUUGUUACUUUCAAUAAGGCCUAUAUUCAUCUACAAGGAGAAUCCUGGGCAGGUUGGUCUCAGAGAUCUGAGCACAAUGCCAAAGAAUGACCACCAGCAGUUUGAGUUGAUCUGUCAGCCUUUUUGUUUCAUAUUGUCAAUGAAUCUCCGCAUAAUUUCCAAGAUACUACCACACGCUUGCGAUUCAGUUCUGCUCCAAGUUCAUCCUGAUGACAGCUGGUUUUUCCUAUGGCUUAACUGUGUCUUUAAAAGCAAAUCUCCAGAUAACCAUGUCACACAGAAUAAAGAAAGCAUUUCCUUUUUCCCCUCACACUGCAACCCUUUGCUUUCUGAUAUUGGACACAUGCCAUGCAUUUUGCAUUAGCUCUGUGGCAAAUGUCUAGUGUUACAAUCCAAGCACCAGUGCUCAUUAGCCUUUUUAGGAGCUUGGAGACCAGAGUUGGAAAGGUACAACUUGGAGAAAUAAUUCUCAGUGAGCAAGUAGCAAUUUGC